rnacentral:rRNA from 1 species
UACGAAGGGGGCUAGCGUUGUUCGGAAUUACUGGGCGUAAAGGGCGCGUAGGCGGUGUGUCAAGUCAGGCGUGAAAGCCCCGGGCUCAACCUGGGAACCGCGCUUGAGACUGGCACGCUCGAGUUCGGGAGAGGAUGGUGGAAUUCCCAGUGUAGAGGUGAAAUUCGUAGAUAUUGGGAAGAACACCGAUGGCGAAGGCAGCCCCCUGGGUCAAGACUGACGCUCAUGCACGAAAGCGUGGGGAGCAAACAGG